GGUACUACUAAAUAACACCUAAACAGAACAUUAUAAAGUUAAUCUCCAACAAUUGCUAUGUAAAAUGAUGAUGAGGGCUCAUCCUCAGCAGCCUGGCACCUCUUCCUAGGUGGUUUCCCUUGGUAUCCCAGAGGAAGGCUUCCCAGGGAGCUCUCCUGCAUGGUGUAGCAUUUCCCUGUGGGCAGCCUUACAGGAGGCACCUUCCUGGGGAGUUCCAUAGGUUCCCUAGCUGGCUUACCAGUUAGCUCAACGACAUUCCUGAAGAAGGCUUCCCUGUAUGUUUCAUUAGGUGCCUCGGCAGGGGUUUCCUGUUUUCCAGUUCCUGUUUCCCAGCCUCAGCUCAUUGACUAUGGUCCAGCUUGGGUCCAGGCAACCCAGAGAACUUCUCUGCCUUCCAGCAGGCUGUAAUUGCACCUUCUCCAACAAGGGCUGAAUCCUAGUGGCCCUUGCACUGGGAACUUCCAAAUAGUUAAAAGACUUUUCUGACGCAAUCUGAGGCGAUAUGGACAAAUGUGGAUUUCCAAUAUUGCAUCAUGAAAUGUAUCAACAUUUGCAAGAUCUGUAUAACUCAGUGAACCAAUAUUUCCAGAUGAUCAAUCCAUGAUGCAAAAAUUCCAUUUCAAGUGUAAGAUAGAUCAAUGGAUUUUAAUGUAACAUUAUAUGAAAAGGUUUCUCAUUCCAAGCUGUAACCUUUAAGAAAGCACCAUUUUUUGAGUUUUAAUGUAAUUUCCAUAAAUACCCACAAUUAUCAGAAAAGAUUAUUAAGCUAUUCCUCCCCUUUCCAAAUACAUAUCUGUGUGAGGCUGUAUUUUUUUUUAUGAACUUCAACAAAACAGCCUAUCACAACAGGGUGCGUCCAGAAGCAGAUACGUGAAUCUAGCUGGUUUCUAUUAAGGCUGCCAUUAAAGAGAUUUGUGAAUAUAAAACAAGGCCACUGUUCUCACUAAUUUUGUUUUGGAAAAUUAAAAAACUAUUGUAUAUAUUCACGUAUGAUAGAUGUUAUUUUUAAAUGAAUUAACAAAUAUUUUGUAAUUUUCUCUGUCUCUCAGGCUGGAGUGCAGUGGUGUGAUCUUGGCUCACUGCAACCUCCAUCUCCAGGGUUCAAGUGAUUCUCCUGCCUCAACCUCCGGAGUAGCUGGGAUUACAGGUGUCUGCCACCACACCCGGCUAAUUUUUGUAUUUUUAGUAGAGACAGGGUUUCACCAUGUUGCCCAGGCUGGUCUUGAACUCCUGGCCUCAAGUGAUCUGCUCACCUUAGCCUCCUAAAGAGCUGGGAUUACAGGGGUAAGCACCACACCCAGCUACUUUUCUCAGUUUUAAUAUCUAGUACAGUAAAUAUCAAUAGACAAAACCUACACAAGCAUGAGCUCUUGGGGCCUCAAUAUGAAGAAGUUAUGAGACUAAGACUCCUGGGUGCUGCUGUUCUGGACUAGAGUAACUUUCCUUCCAAAAGUGAGGCCUGUGAGCUUGAAUAUGGAUAACAGGGCUGCGGCACAUCAGCCACAGGGGUACCUCUGCAUAUGGGGCUUGAAAAUUCAUAGGUAUUUGCAUCCAGAUGCCUAGAGAAGCUUCAACUCCCAUCUCAUUUUUACAGCACUGCACUUGCUCCCUGGCCUUUUGCCUUCUUUGUUGUCACUACCUGCCUGAGCCUUUGCUGAACCUGAGCACUGGAGAGGGAGAAGUGCCUUUUGUUUUGAAGAAGCCCGGCCUGAGAGAGACAUGUCGAUGACUUUGUAAGAACAGGCUUUGGUUGGAUUUGGGGAGCCAUUCGAAGGACACCCUAUGUGAGCACCGGGACAAGCUGCUGCUCUGGGGCACAUUUCUCCCCCUCGCCACCCUGGGCUGCCCAUCUGUUGAACAGAGCCUGCUGCUGCUUCUCUGUUCUCCCAUCUCUCUUAAACUGUGUGGUUUUCACUUUCCCCCGGUGGAGUAGAGGAUCUCUGUAUCUUGUCCGAUUUCUUCACGCUAGACUUUGGGGAGGAGGCACACGUGCAAUGAAUAAAGACUGGUCACCCAGAGCUUUCAGGGAGGUGCUCACUACCCUGAGAUGCCAGGAGCUCCCGAGAAGAGUGGAUAGAUCUAAGAAAGAACUCUCUGAAUUAGAAAUAAAGUACAGCAGCAGGCUGGCUUGUGUUUGCUAGUUAUAACCAGGGGCAGGAGUGGCCCUAGGGAGGGUGCGUUGUGACUUAGGUGCAACUGUUUGAAACAUGUCUUGUAGAGCAAUGUUGGAGAUGCUCACAGUCUGGCUCUCAGGACUGGGAAGACAUAAUGGAAUCACUGAAAUCUCCCAAGAUUGUGCAGGCCAGUCUGUUUUCACUCUGCUAGUAAAGACCUACCUGCCUGAGCCUUUGCUGAGCCUGAGCACUGGCGAGGGAGAAGCGCCUUUUGUUUUGAAGAAGCCUGGCCUGAGAGACAGAUGUCGAUGACUUCGUAAGAAGAGGCUUUGGUUGGAUUUGGGGAGCCAUUCGAAGGACACCCUGGAUAGAUCUGAG
rnacentral:lncRNA from 10 species